ACGGAGGGUGCAAGCGUUAAUCGGAUUUACUGGGCGUAAAGCGUGCGUAGGCGGUUUGAUAAGUCAGAUGUGAAAGCCCCGGGCUCAACCUGGGAACUGCAUUUGAUACUGUCAGACUAGAGUUUGGUAGAGGGUAGUAGAAUUCCUGGUGUAGCGGUGAAAUGCGUAGAUAUCAGGAGGAAUACCAGUGGCGAAGGCGGCUACCUGGACCAAAACUGACGCUGAGGUACGAAAGCGUGGGGAGCAAACAGG
rnacentral:rRNA from 1 species